rnacentral:rRNA from 1 species
UACAGAGGUCUCAAGCGUUGUUCGGGAUUCAUUGGGCGUAAAGGGUGCGUAGGUGGCACUGUAAGUCGGGUGUGAAAUUUCGGAGCUUAACUCCGAAACUGCAUUCGAUACUGCGGUGCUUGAGGACUGGAGAGGAGACUGGAAUUCAUGGUGUAGCAGUGAAAUGCGUAGAGAUCAUGAGGAAGACCAGUGGCGAAGGCGGGUCUCUGGACAGUUCCUGACACUGAGGCACGAAGGCCCAGGGGAGCAAACGGG